rnacentral:rRNA from 1 species
UACAGAGGUCUCAAGCGUUGUUCGGAUUCAUUGGGCGUAAAGGGUGCGUAGGUGGCUAGGCAAGUCAGAUGUGAAAUCCCGGGGCUCAACCCCGGAACUGCAUUUGAAACUGCCUUGCUCGAGUACUGGAGAGGAGACUGGAAUUUACGGUGUAGCAGUGAAAUGCGUAGAUAUCGUAAGGAAGACCAGUGGCGAAGGCGAAUCUCUGGACAGUUACUGACACUGAGGCUCGAAGGCCAGGGGAGCAAACGGG